rnacentral:lncRNA from 1 species
GAGACCGAGUAAUAAUAAAACUCCAGUCUCCCACACAGCUAGCUCUGCGUGAAUUACCUUUUCUCUGUUGCAAAUGCCCUUUCUUGAUAAAUUGGCUGUCUAGGUAACAGGGAAGGUGAACCCACUGGGCAGUUACACUUUUAUCCACCCUUCCAGCUGGAUCACGCGCCCUCUUCAAUGACAUGACACGCAGCUAGAGUGUAUGAGCUUGCUGCCGGCACCUUCCGUCCUGGAUCGCAUAGCAAGGCCUCAAUGGACAGCCAGGUGCCUGGUCCGGUCCCACUUUUUUUUCUGUCCUGUUCUCGUUUCCUCUUUGCUUGGCCAAAGAGGGUUGGGCCAGGGUCCUGAGUGCAAAGGCUUGGCUUGGUGAAUUAAAGUGGCAGUAGCCGUGUGGCAGAGAAAAUUUGUAGAUGGGUGAAAUCCUGGGCCUACACAGUGACAAAGUGUAUAUAGACAGCCAGCCUAGUUGGUGGAUGUGACAACCCCAGACUCUUCUAGAUUUGUGGAUCCGUGCACCUGCCAGACCUGUCUCUGAGCCAUCUGGGGAGGCUGGGUAAGAUUUCCCCCGUCAGGGCCUGAGCCUCAUCUCCAAGCUGCUGGCUUCAGCCCAGCUGCCACCAGCGCUGUCUCUGUCUUGCGCUUUCCAGAGAGAGACUGACUCAUUUUGAGCUCCAGGCCUACCAGGCAGCCCAACCGCGGCAGUAACUGCCUCUCACACUGAGGAUGGCUCAUGCUCUGGUCCAGCCAUGGCUUGAACACCUCCCAACAAGAACAAAGCCAGACUCAUUCUCCCUAGCAUCUUCUUCCUUGCUCAAAGAUCCCACACCCCGUUAGAAGCUGGAACUGGGUCCUUGUCACCUUCCUCACCUCCCCAGUCGUAGUCUGGUUAAUCCUUACAUCUCACCACGGUCACCGUGGCUAGAUGUGACCUCCGCGAUGCUUCAGGCACGUACCAGGGCAGCCUGGGCAGGGCUGGUCACUGUGAUCUCAUGAGGUGUGAACUUGACCCCGGCCUUCUUUCCUGGGAUGCCGGCUAAGGACACAAGUUCAGUGUUUGCCCUGGCUUGUAGCCCAGCGGGGGCUCCGUCAUCCCCUGGGGAAUGCCUCGGCCUGCAAGACCGCAUACCGCAUUGGAACAGGGAAACCACCUACUUCAGCACCUCCCUCAGCAAGGUGGCAGGUCCCAACAAGCCUUGCACCACGAGGAAGUGGCAGUGGCAUUCGGGAUAUGGCUCCCUGGCCAGCUUGUGAAGUUCAAGGGGCUCGUUACUUCUUACAGCUCACAGUCCCUCCCGGGUCCAGCACACCUGAGGGCUGACCUCCCUCUUGAUUAGUGCAGGGGAAAAGCACUUUAAAAAGCUGUGUCAUGCGUAACUUGCACAUCUUCUGAUUCUGACCUGAAACUGCAUCCCAGGUCGGCACAGACGCAACCCAGUCUCCUCCCACCUCCGAGAGUGCAGUGUCCUGAAUGGAGAACCCCAGCACCCAGAAGCAUCCACUGAAGGACGUGUGUCCUGGAACCCUGGCUGCACCCACAGAUACAGCCACUCCUGGGCCCAUGUGGAUGUAACCUUCGAGUGCCGGAAUGCCUCGUCUCCAUGGAGACCAAACUCAAGGGCCUGACUGGCCCAGUCUACCGAGACCAUG